UACAGAGGGGGCAAGCGUUAUUCGGAAUUAUUGGGCGUAAAGGGCGCGUAGGCGGCUUGGCAAGUGGAUGGUGAAAUCCCUCGGCUUAACCGAGGAACUGCCGUCCAAACUGCUUCGCUUGAGACCGGGAGAGGUGAGUGGAAUUCCCCAGUGUAGCGGUGAAAUGCGUAGAUAUUGGGAGGAACACCAGUGGCGAAGGCGGCUCACUGGACCGGUACUGACGCUGAUGCGCGAAAGCGUGGGGAGCAAACAGG
rnacentral:rRNA from 1 species